UGCCAGCAGCCGCGGUAAUACGGAGGGUCCAAGCGUUAUCCGGAUUUAUUGGGUUUAAAGGGUGCGCAGGCGGAAUAAUAAGUCAGAGGUGAAAUCCCACAGCUCAACUGCAGAACUGCCAUUGAAACUGUUUUUCUUGAGUAUAGAUGAAGUGGGCGGAAUGUAUCAUGUAGCGGUGAAAUGCAUAGAUAUGAUACAGAACACCGAUUGCGAAGGCAGCUCACUAAACUAUUACUGACGCUGAGGGACGAAAGCGUGGGGAGCGAACAGGAUUAGAUA
rnacentral:rRNA from 1 species